ensembl:lncRNA
CGGGCACGGCGCGGAGCGGGAGCGGGUCGCGCCCUGAGGGCGAGAGAGAAAACCCCCGAGGGCUGGGCGCCAGCUAAGAGCUGGGGCGGCCGCUCCCGCCCGCUGUCUCUCCGGCCCUACAGAGAGACGGCGCCUAUCGCCGUUAAAGUUUAUCAGAUAGCACCGGCUGCAAGUGUUUUCGUGUGUCUCAGCGUGAGGCGGCUGCUGCUGGGAGGGAGGGGACGGCGAAGCGCUGGCGGUGAAGUUUUGCGAGAGAAGCAUUGUGUUUCCACGCACUCCUCUCAUUUACGAAUGGGUUUUCUGGAUGCAUAUGGCGUUUUCCUGGAGAUCCUGAUAUGCAGACUUCAGCAUCUGAAACAUACUACUGGUAGAAGAAGUGUUAACAACAGUUUGUGGUUAAAUCAAUCGAUGUGACACCCCCAUCAUCCCGCUCCCCCAGUUUUUGAUUCUGCACAACUUCUUUGAGAAAACAACUGCUCUGUAAGAAGGCCUCUGUGCGCUGUCUGAAGUUGCACUUACAAAAAAAAGUACAGAAAACACUUCUUGUUUUGGAA